rnacentral:rRNA from 1 species
UAAUACGGAGGGUGCAAGCGUUAUCCGGAAUCACUGGGUUUAAAGGGUGCGUAGGCGGCUUAGUAAGUCAGUGGUGAAAGGCUGUGGCUUAACCAUGGAAUUGCCAUUGAUACUGCUGAGCUUGAAUGAGGUUGAGGUUGGCGGAAUGUGACAUGUAGCGGUGAAAUGCUUAGAUAUGUCAUGGAACACCGAUUGCGAAGGCAGCUGACUGGACCUAUAUUGACGCUGAGGCACGAAAGCGUGGGGAGCGAACAGGAUUAGAUACCCUGGUAGUCCACGCCCUAAACGAUGCUUACUCGUUGUUUGACUGAAAAGUUGAGUGACUAAGAGAAAUCGAUAAGUAAGCCACCUGGGGAGUACGACCGCAAGGUUGAAACUUAAAUGAAUUGACGG